GGCGGGCUAGCGUAAUGGUUAACGCGUCAGUUUCCGGUUCACGGUCUGGCGCUGUGUAGGAUAGCUGAAGACUCCGGGUUCGAGUCCCGGGCCUGUCG